AUCUUAGUGGAUUUCAGGGAUUAGAUUUAUAUCUUUUUGCUGCUGUUCCCCAUUUUCCACUGUGCUACCUCAGCAUGUGGGAUUUGUGUGUAGCACAGCAGAUCUCAAGAUGACUGGAUUUUAUACUGGGUUUGUGGAAGCCGUGCUCUGUAGAUGUUAUUUCUGACUGUAUUAUAGGCAUUUAUUUACAUCACUUAUGAUUUCAUGUCGUCACAUGGAUCUUUUUGUCGGGAAAAGCUAUAAGCCGAUGCCCAGAACUGUCUUUUUUCUUCAUACAUCAUCUUUCUUCACUAACUUGAAGCUUGGAGGAUGCAAAUUAUUGACUUUUAAACUCCUUUACUGAGAGCUUUACUAACCUAUACUUUUUUACAAGGAUUCAUGGAACAUUAAGAUGCAGUCGAUGCAUAUAACACUGGUGCUUUAAAUGUUCUUUGCUGGUGUUUUGCAGUUGUUGAGACUCAAGUUGCAAUAUAUAGGAUAAAAGAUAUUUCCAUCAAACUUCUACCUUCAGGCUCUUUUGUUUUAUCUCCCCCCCCCACUGAACUUAUCAGGUGGGGGGGGAAGGGGUAAGGCCCAAACCAUGGAGUCGAACCCAGACAGCCCGAGUCGGGCUGUGGAGUAUCUCCUGGAGCUCAAUAACAUCAUCGAGAACCAGGCCAAACUUCUAGAGACACAGCGUAAACGUAUCGAGGAGCUCCAAACGCAGCUAGACCGGGUCAACCAGGAGAACCAGGACCUGCGGCAGGACCGGAACCCGGGAACUGAGAACUUGACGCAGAACCACAACUACAACCAGAGCUCUAAGCCCAGCCAGCCGUCAUCACUACCAAACCACAGUGCUGGAGGUGUCCAUCAGAACAGCAGCAGUAAUAUACCCUCAUCCACGGUGCCUGGUCCAGCUCGACGGAAUCACAGCAGACUGACCCGAGGCCUGUCAUGUGGGUCAGCCCCUGUCGAGGAGAGAGGCCGACUGGAGCGAAAUGACAGCUCUGGGACCAACAACACCUCCACUCUACGGAAACAUGAGGAGGAAACCCAGAGUUCAGCUUCACGUCCCUUUUCAGACAGUUCCAAUAGUAAAUCUCCUUAUGUGCACAGCUCUGACCGUUACGGGGACAACAGCUGUGGCCCCCCAGGCCCUCGGGUGCCUUUUGUGCUCCCUCCAAGCCCAGCCAGCCUCGCCUGGGCACAGCGUACACGCAACCAACCAGCUAGCCUGGCCCUACGUAAACAAGAGGAAGAAGAGAACAAGAGGUGCAAAGCCCUAUCAGACAGUUAUGAACUCUCUACAGACCUACAAGACAAGAAGGUGGAGAUGCUGGAGAAGAAAUAUGGAGGUUACUUCGUAAGUAGACGAGCAGCACGUACCAUCCAGACAGCAUUCCGUCAAUAUCGUAUGAACAAGAACUUUGAGCGCCUGCGCAGCUCAGCUUCUGAGAGCCGCAUGACACGGCGCAUCAUCCUUUCCAACAUGCGACUGCAGUACUCGUUUGAUGACCGACAUGGUGUUGUUGAUGACUUUGGCGAGUGGGGCUUGAGUAUGCAUGAAGACAGCACAGCCACCUCCUACAGUGAUGUCACACUUUACAUGGACGACGGUCUACCUUCCUCACCGCUUUCUCUAGAUCGGGCCCCUAGCAGCACAGACACUGAGUUCUGGGGGGGUGUUGGAAGUGGGGUAGGUGGUAGGGAAGAUAGCCGUGACACAGAAGGAGGAGGAAGCAGCAAUAGCCGCCGAAGCACACCUUGCACAGAGUGCCGUGAUUACCGUUUACGGGGAGGGCACUUACCGUUACUUACGAUUGAACCACCUAGUGACAGCUCAGUGGACAUGAGUGACCGCUCAGACCGAGGCUCCCUUAGCAGACAACUAGUCUUUGAGCAGGACUCAGCAGGAGGAUCACCUCAAGGGACACUAAAGCAUAAUCCUAAUGCUCGUUCGACAUCCUCGACAGCUGCACAAGGUCAAACACGUCCACCCCCAACCACACCGCUCUCAUCCUCCUCUUCAGCACCACUGCCUCCUGGUGGCUUGGAGCAGCAAUGCUGCUCGGAUGGUGAUAAUGACUCACUGAAUUCCACCACAAACUCUAAUGAGACCAUUAAUUGCAGCUCAGGCUCCUCUUCAAGGGAUAGUCUGCGGGAGCCCUUGCCCCCAUUAGGGAAACAGACCUACCAGAGAGAAAGUCGGCACAGCUGGGACUCUCCUGCCUUUAACACUGACGUAGUGCAAAGAAGACAAUAUCGCAUCGGACUCAACCUCUUCAACAAGAAACCAGAAAAGGGUAUUCAGUACCUAAUUGAGAAGGGCUUUGUGUCAGACACGCCAGUGGGCAUUGCUCGCUUUAUCCUGGAGAGAAAAGGCCUGAGUCGGCAGAUGAUUGGAGAGUUCCUUGGAAAUAGACAGAAACAGUUCAACAAAGAUGUAUUGGAUUGUGUUGUGGAUGAAAUGGACUUUUCCGGAAUGGAUCUUGAUGAUGCUCUGAGGAAAUUUCAAGCUCAGAUAAAAGUCCAAGGAGAGGCUCAAAAAGUGGAAAGACUUAUUGAGGCUUUCAGUCAGAGGUACUGUGUUUGUAAUCCAGCACUGGUAAGACAGUUCCAGAACCCAGACACCAUCUUCAUCCUAGCUUUUGCCAUCAUCCUCCUCAACACAGACAUGUACAGCCCCAAUAUCAAAGCAGAGAGGAAGAUGAAGCUGGACGACUUCAUCAAAAACUUAAGAGGGGUGGAUAAUGGGCAGGACAUCCCACGUGACUUACUGGUUGGAAUCUACCAGCGCAUUCAGAAAUGGGAACUGAGAACCAAUGAUGACCAUGUUUCUCAGGUCCAGGCGGUGGAGAGAGUAAUAGUGGGCAAGAAACCAGUUCUGUCUCUGCCCCACCGCAGACUAGUGUGCUGUUGUCAGCUCUAUGAAGUCCCAGACCCCAACCGUCCUCAAAGGUCUGGAGUUCACCAGAGAGAGGUCUUCCUCUUCAACGAUCUGAUUGUGGUUACAAAGAUCUUCCAGAAGAAGAAAACCUCUGUAACGUACAGUUUCAGGCAGUCCUUCCCUCUGGUGGAGAUGCAGGUUCACAUGUUCCAGAACUCCUACUAUCCUCAUGGUGUCAGACUAACAUCAGCUAUCCCAGGUGGUGAGCGUAAAGUUUUGAUUGUGUUCAUGGCCCCUAGUCAACAGGACCGCACACGCUUUGUCAGUGAUCUGAGAGAGAGCAUUGCUGAGGUCCAGGAAAUGGAGAAAUACAGAGUGGAGUCUGAGCUGGAGAAGCAGAAAGGAGUAAUGCGGCCCAGCCUGCUCACCAACAGCAUUAUGGCUGGAGGAGUGGGUGGGGUCAAGAAUGAAGUGGUGAAUGGCACUAUGGGAAGGCCUAGUCUGGAUGACAACUAUUCACCAGGAGAGGGCCUCAAACGUACUGCUCUCAGCUCCUCCCUGAGGGACCUGUCUGAAUCAGGUGAGACACUUUGCUGUGAUUGGCAACCAAUUUAUUUAUGAUAAUUUAGUACCAUUCUACAUUGGGGCAAAUAUAAAAAAAAGAAAUCGUAUAAUUUGCAAAAUGUAUAUUAUGGGGUUAUAUUUUGAGGUUAGAAACAAUCUCAACAUUUGUGGACACAAACAAGAAAGUAAGAUUUCUAUUAACACUGACCGCCAUUACACUCACCCACACACAUACACACACAAUGCAGUUGUGACUGACAUCUGCUAACUGGGUAACAGGGAAAC
ensembl:lncRNA